GCACUGCUGAGGAGUCCGAUACUAGGACGAAACGGCCGUUCAGUAC
rnacentral:hammerhead_ribozyme from 1 species